UGUGCUGAACUCUCUUUGUUCGAAUCAAUUUGAUUUUGAUUUUCUGUCCGGACAACUUGAUGAUCAGGACUGCCAUUACUCAUGUUUUUGUAAUUUUCAGCUAAAUUGGAUGUACGAUUUGGAAUAAAAGCUACAAAUUUACAUGUAGGCAACCAUGUAAACCAUUGUCAGCUGUUGUCAUCUUUCAUCAAAAGUUCGCAAUGUCUUUGCCGGCUGGACAAAAUUUUGCGUUGCUCAAAAAGCUUUUUUCAGAAGUGCAAAAGGAAAAGUACACCUUCUUGUAUGAUCUCAGCCAAAAAGAGUACAAAAAUAAUAAGCUUAAGCAAAUAGCUUGGGGUGAAAUCGCGGACGCACUUGAAUUGCCAAAGGAUGAAGUGCAAGUGCUGUGGAAACGUACCCGAAAUAAAUUUAAAAACGCGCUUGCCAGCAGUAACGCCCCAAGUGGAAGCGCGAGACGAGUACAAAAGCAGAUGGAUACUUUUUUGUUAUGAGAAAUGGAAUUUUUACGGAAAUAUGUAGAAGAUGAGGAGUAAGUUUUGUUACCAACAACUAGAAACUACACUGGCAUGCAAGAACUUUUUGACGAAAUGGCCGGAGAUCCUGAAGUCAUAAGCUCCUCCAUGGAUGAAUCUUCAUCUACCCCAACAUUUAAACGCAAGAAGCCAAAACAUGGAACUUUUGACACCGAAAUGCAAACAGCCUUGCAAAAACUGAAUACCUUAGCAUCAGGUAUUUUAAGUGCGCCACAGGAUCCUUUCUAUUUAUAUUUUCAAUCAGAAAUGGAAAAAUUACCAGAGAAUGUCAAAUCUGAGCUUAAAUCUGAAAUAAUGCAAAAAAUAUUUCAAGCUCAAAAAAUAUAUUUGUAAUUUUUGUAUUUGUAUUUGUAUUUUAUUUGCUAAUCACCAAAAUAAAGACAGUUAA